GCUAACUCUGUGCCAGCAGCAGCGGUAAUACAGAGACCUCAAGCGUUAUCCGGAUUUAUUGGGCGUAAAGCGUCCGCAGGUGGUUUGGCGGGUCAGGAGUAAAAACUCACAGCUUAACUGUGAGGCCGCUUCUGAAACUACCAAACUUGAGGGCGGGAAAGGCGAACGGAAUUCUCGGUGUAGUCGUAAUAAGCGUUGAUAUCGAGAAGAACACCAAAUGCGAAGGCAGUUCGCUGGAACGCACCUGACACUCAGGGACGAAAGCGUGGGGAGCAAACAGGAUUAGAUACCCGAGUAGUC
rnacentral:rRNA from 1 species